CGACUCCAUGAAGCUGGAUUCGCUAGUAAUCGCGCAUCAGCCACGGCGCGGUGAAUACGUUCCCGGGCCUUGUACACACCGCCCGUCAAGCCAUGGGAGCCGGGGUGCCUGAAGUGCGUGACCGCAAGGAGCGCCCUAGGGUAAAACCGGUGACUGGGGCUAAGUCGUAACAAGGUACC
rnacentral:rRNA from 1 species